CAAGAGGACAGAGGAGCCAGAUCGCAGUGGCGACUACAACUCCUGCCGAUGUCGAGGCCCAGUUCUCCCUUCCCACCACCCCAGGCUCAUUGUGCUAGGUGCUGUAGCAAACCACCAUCCAGGGAUCAAGACAUCAGAUAUAAGAAAAUCCAUUAACACAAGAAUUUGUGAGUUAAGGCACCAGGUGAAGCGAAAAAACAAGAUGGACGAUUAAAUAGGGUACAAGACUGGUUUUUUUGGCCCUGUUCCGGACCUUGUUUUAAUGAGUGAUCAGCUCAUGUUUAAAGUUGUCACCAGGUGAAACAAAAAACAAGAUUGUUAAAUAGGAUAACAGACUGCUCUUUUUGGCCCUGUAUGAAAUAACAAUGCAUCAUUUAUUAACUAUACCUAUAUAAAAUGUAAUACAUUUUCCCUUCAUUAUGUAAUAACACCUCCUUUUGUAAUAAUUUGCCCAUUAUGUAGUAAACAAGUUCAAUGCAAAUAUGUAAUACAUGUCGCCACAUUUUGAAAUAUAUUAUUACAUAUUGCAGUGGUUAUUACAAAAUGAGUUGCAAACAAUAACAUUACAACUGUUUAUUUAUUCAACCAUGAAUCAUCCUUACUCAUAAUUAAUUUAAAAAUAUUUCAGUAGAAUAUCUUUCAUUGGCCAAAACUAGAUCAAGUGUUCAUUCAUUAGCCAACAUGAAUAUCAACAUCAAUUUUGGGAUAUAUUUACAGUUUGGUUAUGGUUACAUAAUGAAUAUUACAGUUUUUUAAAAGGGCAACUCACGCAUUUUGUAAUAACCAUUGCAAAAUGUAAUAAUUUAUUACAAAAUGUAGGGAAAUUUAUUUUAUAUUGCGUUCAGGCUGUUGAUUACAGAAUGCAGCAGAUUAUUACAAAAUGUGGGUU